rnacentral:rRNA from 1 species
CCUGGGCCGCACGCGCGCUACACUGACAGAGCCAACGAGUUCUUCACCUUGGCCGAAAGGUCUGGGUAAUCUUGUUAAACUCUGUCGUGCUGGGGAUAGAGCAUUGCAAUUAUUGCUCUUCAACGAGGAAUGCCUAGUAAGCGCGUGUCAUCAGCAUGCGUUGAUUACGUCCCUGCCCUUUGUACACACCGCCCGUCGCUACUACCGAUUGAAUGGCUCGGUGAGGCCUUCGGACU